AUCUGGUUGAUUCUGCCAGUAGUCAUAUGCUUGUCUCAAAGAUUAAGCCAUGCAUGUCUAAGUAUAAGCAAUUUAUACGGUGAAACUGCGAAUGGCUCAUUAAAUCAGUUAUCGUUUAUUUGAUAGUACCUUACUACAUGGAUACCUGUGGUAAUUCUAGAGCUAAUACAUGCUAAAAACCUCGACUUCGGAAGGGGUGUAUUUAUUAGAUAAAAAACCAAUGCCCUUCGGGGCUCCUUGGUGAAUCAUAAUAACUUAACGAAUCGCAUGGCCUUGCGCCGGCGAUGGUUCAUUCAAAUUUCUGCCCUAUCAACUUUCGAUGGUAGGAUAGUGGCCUACCAUGGUGGCAACGGGUAACGGGGAAUUAGGGUUCGAUUCCGGAGAGGGAGCCUGAGAAACGGCUACCACAUCCAAGGAAGGCAGCAGGCGCGCAAAUUACCCAAUCCCGACACGGGGAGGUAGUGACAAUAAAUACUGAUACGGGGCUCUUUUGGGUCUCGUAAUUGGAAUGAGUACAAUCUAAAUCCCUUAACGAGGAACAAUUGGAGGGCAAGUCUGGUGCCAGCAGCCGCGGUAAUUCCAGCUCCAAUAGCGUAUAUUAAAGUUGUUGCAGUUAAAAAGCUCGUAGUUGAACCUUGGGUCUGGCUGGCCGGUCCGCCUCACCGCGAGUACUGGUCCGGCUGGACCUUUCCUUCUGGGGAACCUCAUGGCCUUCACUGGCUGUGGGGGGAACCAGGACUUUUACUGUGAAAAAAUUAGAGUGUUCAAAGCAGGCCUUUGCUCGAAUACAUUAGCAUGGAAUAAUAGAAUAGGACGUGCGGUUCUAUUUUGUUGGUUUCUAGGACCGCCGUAAUGAUUAAUAGGGAUAGUCGGGGGCGUCAGUAUUCAGCUGUCAGAGGUGAAAUUCUUGGAUUUGCUGAAGACUAACUACUGCGAAAGCAUUCGCCAAGGAUGUUUUCAUUAAUCAGGGAACGAAAGUUAGGGGAUCGAAGACGAUCAGAUACCGUCGUAGUCUUAACCAUAAACUAUGCCGACUAGGGAUCGGGCGGUGUUUCUAUGAUGACCCGCUCGGCACCUUACGAGAAAUCAAAGUUUUUGGGUUCUGGGGGGAGUAUGGUCGCAAGGCUGAAACUUAAAGAAAUUGACGGAAGGGCACCACAAGGCGUGGAGCCUGCGGCUUAAUUUGACUCAACACGGGGAAACUCACCAGGUCCAGACAAAAUAAGGAUUGACAGAUUGAGAGCUCUUUCUUGAUCUUUUGGAUGGUGGUGCAUGGCCGUUCUUAGUUGGUGGAGUGAUUUGUCUGCUUAAUUGCGAUAACGAACGAGACCUCGGCCCUUAAAUAGCCCGGUCCGCAUUUGCGGGCCGCUGGCUUCUUAGGGGGACUAUCGGCUCAAGCCGAUGGAAGUGCGCGGCAAUA
rnacentral:rRNA from 1 species